AGGGAUGUAGCACAGCUUGGUAGCGCGUUUGUUUUGGGUACGAAAUGUCACGGGUUCAAAUCCUGUCAUCCCUA
rfam:Prunus persica cultivar Lovell chromosome G1, whole genome shotgun sequence.